UUGCCUACGGGAGGCAGCAGUGAGGAAUAUUGGUCAAUGGGCGCGAGCCUGAACCAGCCAAGUCGCGUGAGGGAUGACGGCCCUACGGGUUGUAAACCUCUUUUGUCGGGGAGCAAAUUCCGCCACGUGUGGCGGAGUCGAGAGUACCCGAAGAAAAAGCAUCGGCUAACUCCGUGCCAGCAGCCGCGGUAAUACGGAGGAUGCGAGCGUUAUCCGGAUUUAUUGGGUUUAAAGGGUGCGCAGGCGGCGAGUUAAGUCAGCGGUAAAAUUUCGGGGCUCAACCCCGACGAGCCGUUGAAACUGGC
rnacentral:rRNA from 1 species